GAUGAACGCUGGCGGCGUGCUUAACACAUGCAAGUCGAACGAGGUCCAUGGAGCUUGCUCCGGAAGACCUAGUGGCGAACGGGUGCGUAACACGUGAGAAACCUGCCCCGAUCUCUGGGAUAACAGUUGGAAACGACUGCUAAUACCGGAUGCCGUCACACCGCUUCAUGGCGGAGUGCCGAAAGAUUUAUCGGAUCGGGAGGGUCUCGCGGCCUAUCAGCUAGUUGGAGAGGUAACGGCUCACCAAGGCAUCGACGGGUAGCUGGUCUGAGAGGAUGAUCAGCCACACUGGGACUGAGACACGGCCCAGACUCCUACGGGAGGCAGCAGUGGGGAAUCUUGCACAAUGGGCGAAAGCCUGAUGCAGCAACGCCGCGUGCGGGAAGAAGGCCCUAGGGUUGUAAACCGCUUUCAGUAGGGAAGAAAAUGACGGUACCUACAGAAGAAGGUGCGGCCAACUACGUG
rnacentral:rRNA from 1 species